rnacentral:rRNA from 1 species
GACGAACGCUGGCGGCGUGCUUAACACAUGCAAGUCGAACGGUAAGGCCCUUCGGGGUACACGAGUGGCGAACGGGUGAGUAACACGUGGGUGAUCUGCCCUGCACUUCGGGAUAAGCCUGGGAAACUGGGUCUAAUACCGGAUAGGACUCCGGACUGCAUGGUCUGGGGUGGAAAGCUUUUGCGGUGUGGGGUGGGCCCGCGGCCUAUCAGCUUGUUGGUGGGGUGAUGGCCUACCAAGGCGACGACGGGUAGCCGGCCUGAGAGGGUGACCGGCCACACUGGGACUGAGAUACGGCCCAGACUCCUACGGGAGGCAGCAGUGGGGAAUAUUGCACAAUGGGCGCAAGCCUGAUGCAGCGACGCCGCGUGAGGGAUGACGGCCUUCGGGUUGUAAACCUCUUUCAGCAUCGACGAAGCGAAAGUGACGGUAGGUGCAGAAGAAGGACCGGCCAACUACGUACCAGCAGCCGCCGUAA